AUUUAAUGUUAAUAUUGUCAUCUGCCGACAAGUUGAAAGAUAUGGAAGAUAAGUGUAACUCCGGGGAAUCGCACGGUGCAAAAACCAAAGAACCGGACUUUCUUUUAACAAGCAACACUUACAAAUCUAUUAAAGAAGACAGUUAUUAAACAAGGAAGAAAAAGAAGCUAUAGGCGAAGCGUAUAUACGCACCGAAAGAAUAAAAAAAUGAUGAUGCUGUGACAGAUGAAUAUCUAGAAAGUAGAGCGUCUUUUGUAGGAUCAAGUCUUUCUGUAACAAUUAGAGUAUCUAAGCCUCCAAAAAUUAUCGAUGUUGCCGACGGUUUGACAAACUUGGUUCUUCAAAAACGACUAGUCUACCCUAUGCAGGAUUUACAUGUCAAUCUAUAAUCCUUCUGGAAACACCGUCCGAUUUACGAAGAGAUACGACAAGACUUGCCACAGCCAAAGGUGCAUCAAUCGCUUGUGUAGAUGCCUCUCACAAGAGAAAGACUGGUCAUUUUGGUCAAUGAAGGACCAAUGGGCCAGAUUUUCUUUCACCAAACACUUUCCUAUGUAUUAAAGAAAACAGUUCUUGAUCGAAAAGAAAAAGAGUUUAUACGCGAAGCGCGUGGCGUACCGGAAGUGUAAAGAAAUUGUGAGGCUGCGACAGAUGAAUGUCAAGAAAGUUGAUCGUCUUUUGUAGGACCAAGUUUUUCUGUAACAAUUGGAGCACUUAAGCUUGCAAAAAUUAUCGAUAUGUUUCUUUCGAAUUUAUUUGUAUUUUAAACUAUGCAUUAAAUUUUGGAAAUCUAAUAUACCUAUGUUACUUGUUUGGUGUUGCCGGAGGUUUGACAAACUUGCUUUUUCAAAAGUGACGAACACAAUCAACCACUUGUAUGGCAAUGGUGUAAUGUAUAUUCGCAAUUGAAUUAUUUCAGGAUUUACAAAAAGAAACGGCAAGACUUGCCAAAGAUGCAUCAACUCCUGUAGUGAUAUCGAUGCUUCUCAGAAAGCCGACGAGUUCGAAGAUUUAGAACAUAAGUUCAACUACAAUCGGAUGGUGGAAGAACCAGAGAACCGGACUUUCCUUCAUCAAACACUUCCAAAUCUUACAUUGUAAUGUAUA